ACCUGACUGACUGCCUGGCACUGGGUUCUGAAAAAUGCCAACACAAAGCUUGAUAUUUGCUCCCACAUAGAUACCGUGGGUCACCGGAGUUUGAUCGGCAUCUGGCUUCCACCCCCUCCAUGCAUCAGAGUGAAGAGAGGCCCAAACAACCACUGGGUAAACAGAGACAUUUGCCAGAGGCUGAAUGGAAAAUGCCUGCAAGGGGAUGCAAUCCAGCAAAGACCAAACGCCAGUUGUGCGUACCUGAAUGAUUGUUUUGUUACCACAUCAAUCGAUCCAUCGAUCUAUGUCAGUUUUUUCAAUCAGUCCGAUUGUGAUAGCAUGCUUGUGACAGCGGCAUCUGGAUGGGGCAGUUUAAACUUAGUUCAAAUGCCUUUUAUUCACUAAACCCUGAAUGUAAAUCAAAUUAUAUUCAUCGGCAGCAUCUUUUCUCUCCCUCCCUCUCCUUCUCUUGGACCACCUCAAAGUUUCCUGCCCACGAUAUUUCCCAAUAAGGUUGCUC
ensembl:lncRNA